rnacentral:lncRNA from 1 species
AUUUUCAAUGUAGAAUUAUAGAAAUUAACAUAGGCAUGGUGCAAAUAUAAUGGAGAAAUUUCUAUAUGACCCUAAAAAAUUGCAAACACAAAUUGAGACUCACCAAUAGAUGUAAACCAUGCAUAACCUCAAUGAUAAUUAUAUGUUGAGAGUAGAAGAUAAAUAAUAUAUAUAUAUAUGCAUAAAUACAAACAAUAUUAUUCUACUAUAUCUAGCUAAAAAAAUUACUAAUUCAAAU